ensembl:misc_RNA Y_RNA Y RNA
GGCUGGUCCAAAGGUAGUGAGUUAUCUCAAUUGUUCAGUCAGUUACAGAUUGAACUCCACGUUCCACUCUUUCCCUGCUUCUCACUGUUGUACUUGACUAGUCUUUA